GUUUGGAUAGCUCAGUUGGUAGAGCAGUGGAUUGAAGAUCCUCGUGUCACCAGUUCAAACCUGCCUCUAAACA
rnacentral:tRNA from 1 species